GCUACUUCCCAAGUCGGUGAUUCUUCAGGGCAUCUGGAGAAGAUGAUCACGUGCCACCACCCAUUGUGACUAUGAGAGAUGAACCUGCGGGUUUAUCUGGGGACACAAUUUGACAAAUCUCUUUUGGGAACAGAUGAAUUCCAGGGCCUGAGCGUCAUCGUAUAGCUUGUAGACAAGGGUUCCCAAGAGCGUCUACUCAUUUUGUUUUUUCCUUCUGUCUGCCUUGGUUUCUGCCAUGAGUGUGGGAGUCAGGAGUGACCUUUCCCCCCAUUUGAGUCUCUUCAGUCCUCCCUGCCUCAGUUAUGGUUUUGAAGAUGUGAGGUGAAGACAGAAGACAGUGUCUGAUGAUGAACUGAGGAAGAUCUAUGUCCUUCUUAGGAAAGCAAACCAAUUUAUGAUACCAACUAUGGAGUUGUUGGAAUUCCCUCUUUUACCCCAGUGGGAAGUUCCCCAGCGUGACCAUUCAGAGCCUCGGGACUACGAGACCCAUCAAGAUACCUUCUUGAGGGGUGAGGGCCAGUUGGCUGUGAAAAUAGCCUUUCACCUCCAAAGAAUCAUCUAAACCAGACAAGCAGUACAGAGAGCCGUGUGAGUCAGCUGCCUCCUUUCAGACUUCCUGGGGAGUUUGAGGGACAAAUUUGUGAGGCCUCACCAGCAAGCUGUCAGUCCCGGACUGCUUCCUAGUCAGCCUGAGCUUG
rnacentral:lncRNA from 1 species